rnacentral:rRNA from 1 species
AUGGGGACAGCAGUGCUGCCCGUCGCCCACAAGCUCUCGCUCGCCUCCCCCUUCCUCCCGUGCCACCGGCGGCCCUGCCGUCCCCCCGCCCAGCAGCACUGCCGGCGCCGGCGCCAUGGGGCGGUGGUGGCCUACAUGGAGCCGGACCCGAACUCGCCGGCGGCCAUCCUGGGCCGCAUCGUCGGGGCCCUCCCCGUGGUGGGCCUGGUGGCGCGCAUCCUGAGCGACGACGGCGGCGUCGGCGGCGACACCGUCGACUUCGCCGAGUUCCGCCGCCGCGUCAGCAAGAAGUGCACCGUCAUGGACUCCCAGGCCUUCUACGACUUCAACGACCGCCGCGGCAAGGUGGGAGACCCCUUCUACGUCCUGCUCUGCUGCUGGCUGGCCGCCAUUGGCGCCGGGCUGCUGAAAACGGAGGAGAUCCUGGAAGGCGUGGCCCGGCUCCGCAUGUCCAACGACAUCGAGUACGAGGAGGAGACCUUCCUCGACAUGAUGAAGAUUGCAAGGGAGAAACGGGCAAAGUCGAAGAGCCAGGCGCCGGUGAUACCGAUGGAGGCGCGGGCGGAGAAGGCGCUGGAGGCCAUCUACGUGUGCUGCUUCGGGCAGGACAUGGUGGAGCCGGAGGACGAGCGGCUGCUGUGCACCAUGCUGAACGCGGUGUUCCCGUCGGUGGGGAGGCCGGCGGUGGAGAGGAUGGUGUCCACCGUGGCCAAGGAGGUGGCCUCCGGCGAGAGGAGGGGCCCCGGCGCCAAGGUGGUGCCCAAGGAGGUGGCGCAGCGGCAGCUCAAGGACCUCGAGUUCCUCAAGCAGAACAAGCUGGACUCGAUAUGA